rnacentral:rRNA from 1 species
UACGUAGGGUGCGAGCGUUGUCCGGAAUUAUUGGGCGUAAAGAGCUCGUAGGCGGUGUGUCACGUCGGCCGUGAAAACCUGGGGCUCAACUCUGGGCGUGCGGUCGAUACGGGCAUCACUAGAGUUCGGUAGGGGAGACUGGAAUUCCUGGUGUAGCGGUGAAAUGCGCAGAUAUCGGGAGGAACACCAGUGGCGAAGGCGGCACUCUGGGCCAGUACUGACGCUGAGGAGCGAAAGCGUGGGGAGCGAACAGG